rfam:Bacillus sp. FJAT-22058 super1, whole genome shotgun sequence.
UAACCUGUCCAGUGAUGGACAGCUGAAUCAUCAGAAGUCAGCAGAGGUCAUAGGACUUGUCUACUCGAGAAGAUAAGGAAGGAC